rnacentral:rRNA from 1 species
UACGUAGGGGGCGAGCGUUACCCGGAUUUACUGGGCGUAAAGGGGGCGUAGGCGGCCGUGAAAGUCCGGUGUGAAAACUCACGGCUCAACCGUGGGACUGCGCUGGAAACUACACGGCUUGAGGACGGUAGAGGGAGACGGAACUGCUGGUGUAGGGGUGAAAUCCGUAGAGAUCAGGAGGAACGCCGGUGGAGAAGUCGGUCUCCUGGGCCGUUCCUGACGCUGAGGCCCGAAAGCUAGGGGAGCAAACCGG